GACGUAGGGGGCGAGCGUUGUCCGGAUUUACUGGGCGUAAAGGGCGUGUAGGCGGCUUAGCAAGUCAGAUGUGGAAGCCCCGAGCUCAACUCGGGGAGGUCAUCUGAUACUGCUAAGCUAGAGGGCAGGAGAGGAGAGCGGAACUUCCGGUGUAGCGGUGAAAUGCGUAGAUAUCGGAAGGAACGCCGGUGGCGAAGGCGGCUCUCUGGACUGUCCCUGACGCUGAGGCGCGAAAGCUAGGGGAGCGAACGGG
rnacentral:rRNA from 1 species